CCUACGGGAGGCAGCAGUGGGGAAUCUUGCGCAAUGGGCGAAAGCCUGACGCAGCCAUGCCGCGUGAAUGAUGAAGGUCUUAGGAUUGUAAAAUUCUUUCACCGGGGACGAUAAUGACGGUACCCGGAGAAGAAGCCCCGGCUAACUUCGUGCCAGCAGCCGCGGUAAUACGAAGGGGGGCUAGCGUUGCUCGGAAUUACUGGGCGUAAAGGGAGCGUAGGCGGAUAGUUUAGUCAGAGGUGAAAGCCCAGGGCUCAACCUUGGAAUUGCCUUUGAUACUGGCUAUCUUGAGUAUGGGAGAGGUUAGCGGAACUCCGAGUGUAGAGGUGAAAUUCGUAGAUAUUCGGAAGAACACCAGUGGCGAAGGCGGCUAACUGGCCCAUUACUGACGCUGAGGCUCGAAAGCGUGGGGAGCAAACAGGAUUAGAUACCCUGGUAGUCUACGCCGUAAACGAUGAGUGCUAGUUGUCGGCAUGCAUGCAUGUCGGUGACGCAGCUAACGCAUUAAGCACUCCGCCUGGGGAGUACGGUCGCAAGAUUAAAACUCAAAGGAAUUGACGG
rnacentral:rRNA from 1 species